GAUGAACGCUGGCGGCGUGCCUAAUACAUGCAAGUCGAGCGAACAGAUAAGGAGCUUGCUCCUUUGACGUUAGCGGCGGACGGGUGAGUAACACGUGGGUAACCUACCUAUAAGACUGGGAUAACUUCGGGAAACCGGAGCUAAUACCGGAUAAUAUUUCGAACCGCAUGGUUCGAUAGUGAAAGAUGGUUUUGCUAUCACUUAUAGAUGGACCCGCGCCGUAUUAGCUAGUUGGUAAGGUAACGGCUUACCAAGGCGACGAUACGUAGCCGUCCUGAGAGGGUGAUCGGCCACACUGGAACUGAGACACGGUCCAGACUCCUACGGGAGGCAGCAGUAGGGAAUCUUCCGCAAUGGGCGAAAGCCUGACGGAGCAACGCCGCGUGAGUGAUGAAGGUCUUCGGAUCGUAAAACUCUGUUAUUAGGGAAGAACAUACGUGUAAGUAACUGUGCACGUCUUGACGGUACCUAAUCAGAAAGCCACGGCUAACUACGUG
rnacentral:rRNA from 1 species